ACAUGCAAGUCGAACGAACUCUACGUGAAUGAUUGGUGCUUGCAUCAUGAUUUACAUUUGAGUGAGUGGCGAACUGGUGAGUAACACGUGGGAAACCUGCCCAGAAGCGGGGGAUAACACCUGGAAACAGAUGCUAAUACCGCAUAACAACUUGGACCGCAUGGUCCGAGUUUGAAAGAUGGCUUCGGCUAUCACUUUUGGAUGGUCCCGCGGCGUAUUAGCUAGAUGGUGGGGUAACGGCUCACCAUGGCAAUGAUACGUAGCCGACCUGAGAGGGUAAUCGGCCACAUUGGGACUGAGACACGGCCCAAACUCCUACGGGAGGCAGCAGUAGGGAAUCUUCCACAAUGGACGAAAGUCUGAUGGAGCAACGCCGCGUGAGUGAAGAAGGGUUUCGGCUCGUAAAACUCUGUUGUUAAAGAAGAACAUAUCUGAGAGUAACUGUUCAGGUAUUGACGGUAUUUAACCAGAAAGCCACGGCUAACUACGUGCCAGCAGCCGCGGUAAUACGUAGGUGGCAAGCGUUGUCCGGAUUUAUUGGGCGUAAAGCGAGCGCAGGCGGUUUUUUAAGUCUGAUGUGAAAGCCUUCGGCUCAACCGAAGAAGUGCAUCGGAAACUGGGAAACUUGAGUGCAGAAGAGGACAGUGGAACUCCAUGUGUAGCGGUGAAAUGCGUAGAUAUAUGGAAGAACACCAGUGGCGAAGGCGGCUGUCUGGUCUGUAACUGACGCUGAGG
rnacentral:rRNA from 2 species